rnacentral:lncRNA from 1 species
UCUGGCUCUACAGUCUGCGCUCCUGCUGGAGCUGGCAGAGACCAGAGCUGCCACCGCUGCUGCUUCCAGGAGUGUGCAGGUGGCAGCUGCCGCUGAGCCCGCGGCGGAGGAUGGCAGGGCUUGUUCCAGAAGGCUUGAGGGUCCCCGAGUGCACCGCCCUCCCACCAAUUUCUGGUUUUUCCUGUUGGAGCCCAAGGAGCAAG